GAAUUUGUUUAUGUCCAAUAAGGCUCCUGUAGUUUUGUUGGAAUCAGCUUUACUUUUAGUUGUAUUUAUUAUUAAGUACAUGUUGGAUAUAUAAUUGCUUCCUGAUAUUAUUUCAUCCAUCGGACACUUUUCAUGCAAGGCUUGUUAUUAUACUCUUUGUCUGAUGAUAGUCUAAAAUCAUCAUCCAUCUUGCAUUUUAUUCCAUAACAUGUGAAAUAUUAAAGUCGUUUUCAUUGAGGAAUAAAAAAGAACCUAUCUAAAGCAAGAUUCCCCUAUUUAGAGCACAAUGGCUUUGAUUAGAAGAUAAGAAAAUAAGGGUGCAACACUUUAAACAAGCUUAAUCUUCACUUCACUCCCUCUCUCUACUAGAAGAAUAUCACUAGUAGUGGCACGCCUAUCGCAAAUCACUAAAGAGAAGCUUUCGAGCUCACUUCAGGGCCUGGAUCUC
rnacentral:lncRNA from 1 species